AUAAUUAUCAAUAUUAAAGCUAUUAUAAUAUUUAAUACCAUUUUUUAAAGAUAAUAUUUGUUGUAAAAUUAACAAAAUUAUAUCCUUGGAGAUGUCGUAGUGAUCAGUCCGCAAUUGUCUUAAUCUAGAUCAUACAGUGGGGAGCUUUUUUUAUCUACCAUAGGUCGUAUUGCUAUGGGAUCUUCAUGAGCUUUUACAAAUCCAAACAAUCUGGGUGCAUAAAAACAGCCACUUUUUUCACUUUCCAUAUCUUAGAAAAGGUUUCCCUCUUAAUCAGAGCUGAGACCUUAGCAACAAAAUUGUCUGUAGGGUCAAUUGGCAGGAGUCGCGAUCCUGACUGUGUAAUAAAUUCUUUCACGAGCUCAACAUACUGUACUUUAUAUAUCAAGGCAAUCUUUUUAGAUUUAUCAUCUCUUGUGCAUAUGAAACCCUCUUGCUCUAUCCAUUCAUGAAUUUACUUCAACUUAGCUUUGUUCUUCCUAUUAUGUUUUGUCUUACCAGUUUUAGCAGCACUAAAUAUAACUUCCCACCUUAUCCUCUCUUUGCUUAGCUCUUCCAUUCCUUCUAACAAAUGAUCAAUCUGCAGUGCUAGAUCUAUCAUACUCGGGUUCUGUUCAAUGACAGCCAUGGGGCCACUAAGGAUGACUUCUUGUACUGCUUCUGGAACAACUAUACCUCCUAUUACCACUGCCACAUCUUCCAGCUUAAGGCCUGGCUGGUUGGGGCAGUUGCACUGUUUUCAAAAUAUCCAUUUAAUCUUUUUCACAUAUCUAGCCCUAAUCCUGUUCUGAAAAGGGGAGAGGCUGGAACAGAGCACAUCAAUAUCUUCUUGAAUGGCUGGACCAUAUCUAUCUCAAAGUAUACAUUCUGCCUUAUUUAUUUUGUUUUUGAUUGCGAAAAACUUUCUCCUAGCAUCUGUAAGUGCAUAGUGUAAGUGCCUAUAACUUGAUUUGAAUUUUUUCAGAGUUGUGGUUUUUCUUUUAAACAUUCCAAGUUCCAUUCUCAGUUCUAGAUUGGAUUUAAUUAUUAAAUUUAAAUGCUUUUUCC
rnacentral:lncRNA from 1 species